GCGGGCGUAGUCUAGCGGUUAGGACUUAAGCUUCCCAAGCUUGAAGCCCGGGUUCGAAUCCCGGCGCCCGCACCA
rnacentral:tRNA from 1 species